UUACGCUAGUAUAUACUAAGUCUAUGGUUAUUGUUUAUUGUAGUGUUAUUUUAAUUAAACAAUAAUUUACAUCUCCUUUUAUAAUUCAUAGCAUUUGGAUUACAGCGCAAAAGACGGUCUUAUUUUAUUGAAGGCUAAAACGAUCGACCAAGUUAAUUAAAAGAGACAAAACGAUACGUUAUUGUGAAAUUCAGGGUUAAAAUGUUGAAAUAUAUAUUAAUCAGUGUACCCACUUGUGGGAUGCCGCAUUUAUUAUUUUGCCUUGCACUUUCUUACUCGUCUCUCAUUGUAAAUAGUGUUCUUCUAUUGGCAGCAGCCCUAGACCGAGAAUUAUUUAAAUGGAGGAAAAAAGACGAGAAUAGUUUAAGAUACUAUUUUUUAAUUGUUUAUCAUUCGACAUUAUUGACUAUAUAUCUUAUAGCUGUCAUAGCACUCCAUCUGAAAAUCGUAAUUUUAAUUAAAAUUUACGCUUAUUACCAUCUCAUUUCGAUAAUUUAUUUUUUUAUCGCAAUGAUUUACUUUUUAAUAAUCGGGUGGUAUCUAUACGGCUUCCUUUCAAUCAUUGCAAUAGUUGGUUUCUAUUUAUUAGCAUGUCGUGUAAGAGGUGCUUAUUUGGAGAUAGAAGAAGAGAAAAAAUAAUUUUAUUAUUGUUGUAUUAUAAAAUUUAUUUUUUUAGGCACUCACUAUAUAGUCAACCAUUUAUUUAUUGAAUAAAAUAUUUA